rnacentral:lncRNA from 1 species
GUGUAUACUAAACUUUAUUUAAUAAUUUUUCCCACGUAUAACUAUAACAGAAAACAUAACGAUUAAAGUCAAGUCAAGAAAUGAAUUAAAACAAAUGAUCAGGUGUUAUUAAUGAUUCUUAUAUGACGUGCGUCUUUCGCUUUGUAAACAACACCGUGUGAAAAUUCUCGAUAUAUCUAUAUUUAGCGCAGACUCAGAGAUAUACAUAAUAUGGGAUGUUACAAUAUACCUCCCACGUAAAUGCACAUGCAUUUGAACCUAUGCCGAUUUUAUUGUAUUAGAAAUUGUUAUAAAACAAAAGAAUUUUUAUUCUUAUUCGGAUGCAUAAUACAAAGAAUUAAUAUACUGCAACUGGUUGUCUUUAUUUCCUAAAUAUAGUAACACAGCUAUAUUUUGUGCAAUGUCAAUUUCAUCAUGGAACACUUUCUCCACAAUCAGGGGUUCAUUAAGGGAUAAAAAUAAGCUUGAUAUUUAUGUUACGAUUUUAAAAGCUAUCAAUAUACUAAUCUUAAGUUGCAGUAUAAAAACAAUAUUUAGUCAAUGUCACAAAAAUAGAAAAAAAAAAUUGGCAACCACCAAAGUUCUCAUGAUAUUGUAUUAAAACGGAAAUCUGAGGUAGGUUUUGUUUUAUUUUCUAUUCUAUUGCAAUAUUCGCAUAUAACCUGAUUUCAGCGUGUCAACAUGGCAGCUCCUUCGUUACGAAAUGUCAAUUUUGGAUUUGACGGUAGCUUACGAGAAAACAUGUAAAUUAAAAAUUGAAAUUAUUGGGUUUGAAAAUUAAACAUAUUUGUUUCUACCGGUUAUUAACGAAAUGAUCAAUGCAUGCUAGAGAUUUAUGAGAAUAUUUGAGCUUUGUUUAACCAGGAGUAAAAAUGAACAGCUACACACACGGCAUAUUAACCCUCGCUUCAAUAUUUGAAUGAACUUAUUUGUCCUAUUGAAAUUGAAAUAAUUCAUGGAAACCAUAGAUUUGUUGGAAAUUUACACAUGGCCUGGGCAAAUCUAUGGCUUUCAUGAAUUAUUUCUUAACUAUAACACCAUUUGCUGAGCUUGCAUUUUCAAAAUUUCAAAAUUUUAUUUCAGAAAUCGUGAAUGUUGCACAGGGUUUACAUUUUAAUGUUUUUUCAAGCUUUCACAAUCAAAUUAAUGGUGCUUUUUCCAAUUAAACACUCGGUAACAAAUUUAAAAAAAAAAAUGUUUAGUGUUUAAGUACCAUUUAAGACACAUUCAUUCAUGAUAAAUGAAAACUGUACAUAAAGUUCACUUUCAGACAAGUAAGGUUACUAGGUUGUCCUAUGUAAUCUAAGGUGAAAUCUAAAAGCUGAGGAAAACCAAACUUCUCAAUAAUGAUAAAUGUAUUAUGUAUUAAAGAAGAAUGUGUCCAAAGUACACGGAUGCCGCACUCGCAAUAUUAUUUUCUAUGUUCAAUGGACCGUGAAAUUUUGUAAAAAAUCUAAUUUGGCCGACUUUAACUCCAUCAAAAACUACUUUGACCAAAAACUUUACCUGGAACUCACACUUUUAAUUUCUAUGUUCAUUGAACCAUGAAAAUGGGGUCAAAAAUCUAAUUUUUUUUUUAAAAGAUCAUAUCAUGAGGAACCUGUGUACUAAGUUUCAAGUGAUUGGACUUCAGCUUCAUCAAAAACUACCUUGACCAAAAACUUUAACCUGAAACUCACACUUUUAAUUUCUAUUCUCAGUUGACCAUGAAAAUGGGGUCAAAAGUCUAAUUUUGUUUAAAAAUAAGAAAGAUCAUAUCAUAAGGAACAUGUGUACUAAGUUUCAAGUUAAUUGGACUUCAACUUCAUAAAAAACUACCUUGACCAAAAACUUUAACCUGAAGUGGGACGAACGGACGCACAGACGAACGAACGGACAGACGAACGAAUAGACGAACGUACAGACGGAAGGACGCACAGA